UGGGCUUCAAAACUUGACUUACAUUGUGAAAUAUGGUACUCAAAAUAUUGGUCAACACAGCAUACAAGUUGAUCUCAUAUUUCUGAUCCAAAAAGUUAGACUGACUUAUACACUACAAAAUUCCUAACUUUUUUGAUCAGAAAAAUGGGGGGUUGACUUAUACACCAUGAAAUACAAUACUAAAAAUGUGCUGAUAUAAACAUAUGGAAAGACUCAUGUCCUCUCUCUUAAGAAUGCACCAUUCACAAAGAGAAAGAGCACAGGCAGGGAUGAAAUAUAUAAGCAGAGAGGUAGGGUGAUAACAGGCACAGCUUCUAAAUUCUGCCUAUCCCCCACCAUGCCCCCCAAAAUCUCUCAUCUCUCCUUCAUGGAGUGAACAAUUAGGCUUGAGGUCCAGGUCAGAGGAAAGACACUGAAUAUGGAGAUGGCUGCAGGAAAACUAACAGCAUUAGUUGAUGAAAUACAAGGGUGAGCAUGGCCUGGUACAGCCUGCAGAAUCUUGACCCAUAGGAAAUUUGACAAUGCAGAAGAGAAUACGGAAGAUUUUAGAGGCCAUAUUCUCAACAAGGUCUGGAUGUAAGCAUGGAGGUGAUUAAUGAGGAGGCAGCUACAGGAAUGGCAACAGGAGAUUAGGACUUGGACAACAGCAGCAACUUCAGAACAUAAAUAAAAGCUGUAUUUUAGAAACUGUGCAUAGGAAGAAUGCAUAAGAUUUGGAUACAGACAUGCAGAGUGUGAGGGAGAGGUAGAAAGAAGAGCUGAAGCUUAUACUCUUAGGAUCCCAGCAUGGCUGGCAGGGAAAUUAGCUGUAGUUACCAGCACCAGGAAAAAUGGGAGAGACUUUUGGAGGAAUGAUACAUUCAACUAUAAAGAUAUGGCAAGUGAUCCAGAGAUGGACUGAGGGGAGAUCUGCAAAACACUGGUAGAAGAUGGUAGUUCAAGUUGUGCAAGUAGAUGAAGAUGACCAGAGUACACCAACCAACUGAGGGAGGAACUUCUUUUCUAUUACUGAAACCACAAGUUUUUUUUUAGUUUCCAAAGCACCUGGAGACCGCACCACCUGGCCAGAAUAUUGACUCUUACAGUAAGAAGCAAUAGCACAACGACUCCUUUUUACUCCCAACAGCUCUGGAGGACACUGAUUCACACAUCUAUAAUCAUAACUGCAACUAAAAGCAAGUCCCAGGGAUCACGCAAUACCAUAGUGGAAUAGAGCUAAUUCUAAAAGGAGUCUUUCAUGUUAUGUCACUCCUCAUUCCAACUUCCAACUACACCAGUGCUCGGAGUACUGCUACAGCCACACUAAGACAUUUUUCUAGCAUUCUGACAGCUAGCAAAAUAACUGAAUACAACUCAAGUGUGUUCACUUCUCGGCCUUUUGGCUCAGAUCAAAUGCGUAGUUCCCUGUGAGCAAGCUGCUGCAAAACGAAUUCACCAGCAGAGGUCAGCAAGCCACCAUCUAAACAAAACUCUAAAAUCAAUUUCUCCCAUUCCCACACAUUUACCUUGAAGAAUUUCUGUGUACUGUUACACAGUAGUUGCCUCUUGAAUACUAUCUGAUGUAAUGUAGCGACAGGAAGCUGAUCCUUCACUUAAAUGCCAGUACAAUCAAAUAUACCAAAAAACAAAAUCUCCCCCUUUCAAAGAAGUCUAUUCCCUUUGCUGUUUUGUUGUCACCAGACAGCAUGGGAGGCUACCACCCCUUUUUAAGUCUACUGACUGCUUGGGGGCUAGCUGUGGUGUUGUAGAUUUUACACCACUAUACCAUGCCUCUCCACCCCUCCCAAGAAUGUGUUAUGAUAUGGGGUGCCAUGCGACAGAAUUGCUACGCUCUGCCAUCUGCAUAUAUGAGCAGAUGCUUGCUUUCUAAACAAGAUAAAUAUGGUUUUACAGUGCAGUAUAAUAGUGAAACAAUUAAAUAGCCCUAAAGCCUUCUGAAGUCACCAGGUGGCCCAACAACUGUGCUUAGUCAGCUAGCAACUAGCAUUUUAAAGCUGGACUUGUUCAUUUGUUUUGUCUUAUUCAUUGCUUCAGCCCUUACUUACGUAACUCGUGCAAAAUAACUGCAGCCAUGCAGGAAAUUAAACAAUCACAGCAAGUUUUCAGCUCUGUGCCCUCAAGCAACCCUCCACUGAAGAAAAUAGUUUUAUUUUUCACUCUAUGGAAAGAAGACUAGUCGUCUGGGGAAGGAACAAAUGUGUCCAAAGGACACUUUGACCAAUCUUUUCUAUACAUCAGUUCCUUGACAGCAGGCCCAUAGGCUGUGUUGCUUAUGUGUGUGGUGGUCAGGGCACUACACUGAAACGCUCCACACUCACUCUGUGCACACCAUCUCCCACGUGUGGUUGGCUUAGUGCAGCACCAGGCACAGGCAAGUAAGCUCCAAGAGCAUUAUGCUGGUGACACUACUGCCACUUUUCCUUGGGGAGGGGAUGGUAUUGCAUGGUCCAAGUGCCCAGAGUGAUACAGACAUGUUCUCAGUCCCACAGAAUAAGUUUUGGCCUGUGACAUUUAGAAUACAGUAAAACUUUAAAUGUGUUGCUUCCUGA